GCUUGGCUGGUGGCUCUUCAUCGGCUGGGUCCUGGAGGCUCUCCGAGGAGUUGUUUUCUGCCUCUAUAUCAUAGUCUUCAGAAAUUGCAUGUACCUCCGCAGCAAUUGGAACAUCUUCGGCAGUGUGAACCUCAACAGGACUCUCCUCUUGCGUUUGCUGGUUGACUGACUCAGGAUCUCACCAGGAGUACUGGAUGACAUCUGGUUCUGAUCUCCUAGGCGUCUGGGCUAUGACAGUUUUCAGGAGUACUGGUCAGGUUCCAGCUUUGGCUACUGUGUGCUCCAGUGCCCCUCUAAGCAAUGGGUUUUGUUCUGAGCACUUCCACACUUUCUGGCCCUGCAUCGUACACCAGCUCAUCCUGUAGAUUUCCUGCCCCAGUUCUAGAAUCAGCUAUUUCUCCAAGGAGCUAUUGGAAAACAAACCAAAACCGAUAACUAACUUUUAUUGAAGAACAGUAUUAGAAAUAAACAUCUGGACAUUAUGUGUGCAGGUUUGGCAUUUUAAAAAUAUUGCAGGAAAUACCCAUUUAUAAACUA